UACGUAGGGUGCAAGCGUUGUCCGGAAUUAUUGGGCGUAAAGAGCUCGUAGGCGGUUCGUCGCGUCGGCUGUGAAAACCUGAGGCUCAACCUCAGGCCUGCAGUCGAUACGGGCGGACUUGAGUACUGCAGGGGAGACUGGAAUUCCUGGUGUAGCGGUGAAAUGCGCAGAUAUCAGGAGGAACACCGGUGGCGAAGGCAGGUCUCUGGGCUGACACUGACGCUCAUGCACGAAAGCGUGGGGAGCAAACAGG
rnacentral:rRNA from 1 species